rnacentral:rRNA from 1 species
GACGAACGCUGGCGGCGUGCUUAACACAUGCAAGUCGAACGAAGUGGCGAACGGGUGAGUAACGCGUAAUACACCUGCCCUUCAGGGGGGGAUAACAGUUGGCAACGACUGCUACUACCGCAUAGAGAAGCGGGUGAUUGCGUGUGAUUAGCUAGUUGGAGGGGUAACGGCCCACCAAGGCGACGAUCCGUAACUGGUCUGAGAGGAUGAUCAGUCACACUGGAACUGAGACACGGUCCAGACUCCGACGGGAGGCAGCAGUGGGGAAUAUUGGACAAUGGGCGAAAGCCUGAUCCAGCCAUGCCGCGUGUGUGAAGAAGGUCUUCGGGUUGUAAAGCACUUUAAGUGGGGAGGCGUUACCAACAGAAUAAGCACCGGCUAACUUCGUGCCAGCAGCCGCGGUAAUUC